CGGAGAAGAAAAGGAAAACCCACCCAGUCCCGCACCUCCCGCGCCGCCCCCUCCCCUUCCCCGGAACCAGCCACCGCGCCGCCACCGGUCCUAAAUCCGGCUGCCGCGCCGCUCCCUCCCCGGGAUCCGGCCGCCGCGACACCACAGCCCCCGGAUCCGGCCACCGGACGGCCUCCUUCCCCCGGAUCCGCCCGGGACUGAUCCCACCGCCGCCUGCCGCCACCAAGCACCGGCGUGCGACCCUGACGCCGCCUCCCGCCAUGAAGCGCCGGCGCGCGACGCCGUCACCUACCUCUGGUACGGCGCCGCGCCGCUGCCACCUAGGCUGCCCGUGACGUCGCCCAACUCCUCUAGCGACGACCCCCUGCGACGCACGCCUCCUCGUUGUUCUGCCCCGCACACGGGCGCCUCCCCGUCCACCCUCUGGCAACCGAAACCAGCUCCGCCCGCCGUAGCAGAGGACAUGCCCCGUUCGUGGCCUCCCCUCCCCUCCGCCCGUGUGUGCGAGAGGUUUCGGCAAGCGGUGCCCUCCGCUUCGUUGUGACCUUCCCUGCGCUCUUGCGUGGCCUGCCCAUCUGUUACCGUCACCGGCCAACCAGCGCCGCCGCCGCCCGACCUACCCAGCACGCCGCGGCCCCCUGACCUACGAGCGUUCGUUCCCUGUGGGCCGCCCACCUUCUUUGCGCGCCACCGAGAGCCUGCCUCCGAACUUCCACCCUGGCUGCGCGCGGCUCUGCGCCCUAACCGUCAUCGCCGGGGAUCACCAAACACCAUCAACUAGCAUGCAGUCUUCGGCCGCCUGCUCACGCAGUCCCCAGCAUGCUGCUGACGCGGAUCCGGUCAAGCCCGCACACCUUCCCUCCGGUGAGCCUCCUCCCGCCUUAUGCCUUAAUCUUCUCCUUCUCUACCUCCGGCGAGCUCCCCUGUAUCCUCCGGCUCGUCACCUUCACUUGCCCCUAGCUCCUCAUGUGCUUCUAUCGCACGACGCUGCCGAGCUACAAGAAACCAAUGAUGACGUCUCCACACCCCGUGCGCCGCUAGCGCCGUUUCCCGUUCGGCGCAAGCAGGACCUCCUCUGGCCGAAUCCAUCAGCGAGGCUCCCCUUCCACCAUGUCGCCUAUUCCCGGUGGGGAUCUGCUGGUACAGUGUCCGGCCGUUCGCCGACGCCGCUGCAGGCCGUUCACCUAAGUCGCCACGCACCUGUACCCUGCAGCUGGCCGCAGCACGCCUGGAGCACACUCGCCAUGCACCUCAGCUCUGAAUCCCCUGCGCGUUGCCGCCGGCUUGCCCGAGCAUGCCGCUGCUGGCCUUCUGUGUGUUGUGUGCACUCACUCCCAAGAACACAAGAGUUAAAACUGACGGGCAAAAACAACAGUUGAUGGAUACUGAGUUAACUGACGGAAAGGAGCGAUGCAUGAUGCGGAUGGAGCCAAAUAACUGAACAUCUACACUUUGUUGCAUGUGCAAAAAUGUCGGCUUCGCCUGAUGUGUCUGUUCAGCUACAAAAAGGAAAGCAUUAUACGUUGUUUUCUAGUCCGCUCACUUGUUGAAAUAAAAAGAGCGGCUGGAUCUUGCUGCACACAAGGAAGAAGCGUUUAAGAGGUAAGGAAGACGUGGCUGGGAAUUAAAGGAUAGGCAAAAGAGCUAAGCUAGCGCUCUGGUCACUGGCUUUUUAUUUCUUUUCCUGUAUUCGACCCUAGCUACUACAUGUACGCUGGACUUUUCUAUUCUACAAAAGAGAAAACAAAGUGAUCACAGUGAGAAGAGAGAGAGAAUAAACAAAAUGUGCAAUGGGGAAUAACUCCAUGUAUUUUUUAUCAAGCCCAUUUUGGCCAGUGCAUUUUUAAAAGUACUCCUAGAUGUUUGUCUUUAAGAAGACUGGAGCCAAAAUAUAAAUAGUCCACUUGAUAAUUUUAAACUUUGGA